rnacentral:tRNA from 1 species
GGGAAUAUAGCUCAUUGGUAGAGUGCUUGCCUCACAUGCAUAAGGCCUUGGGUUUAAUUCCCAAUACUACAA